UAGAAGCUCAUAUUCCCCUUAAUUCUCCUGCCUUUCUCCCCUGUUCUGUCAUUGCUCCUGUCUACAGAUGCCUUAGGUUAUUCCUGUUAAAAGAAGGUUGAUAACUUCUAGGAGGGGAGCUCUUCCUUAACCCAGCAGUUCAAGGAGAGUAAGAAGAAUCUCAUCAUAAAUUGAUGGCCUACUGUGUUUUAGGUGAUUUUAUAGACAGGAUCUCAUUUAAUCACUGUCAUUCUAUGAGAGGAGGUGUCAUCGCCUCUAGGGACCCUGCCCUGGCCUGACACAGGGUCCGGUGUGAGUCUUCUAAGCUCCCAAAGAUAACCAGCUAGAACAUGAUCUGUCUCUGCAUGAAGACGUUGGACCUCUGACCUUUUCUGUAGCUAUUCCAGGCAAGUAUAAUAAACAGAGUUC